GCCAUUUGGUGGGUGCUGUGUCAGGGUCGCGGGAAGAGUUCUGCUCUCAUACCGGCUCACUGUUCGCCAGGGGGGCACCAAAAUGGCCGCCGCCCUAUGGCCCUUGUUUACCAAUGGGGAAGCAUCUCAGCUGAUGGCUCCCGGCAGUAUGAGGGAGGGGGCUCACACUGCUUGUGCCCUCUUUCUGACAGCAGGGGUGAAGCCUAUGUAUAUAAGCAGAAGGAGAAUGUGGCAAACAAAAGGCAAAGAGACCAAAGAGACAACCAUCAGAUAUCUGAAAAUGAGAUACUCAUCUUCAAAUGAGAAAAGAAGCCAAUUUCCGACCAGCGUGGACUUACAGAAAAUAAAAGGCACAAACAUAAGUGCAGCAGUGGCUAGAAUGUUCCUGAGAAGGAUGAGACUAACUGACCAAAAGAAAUCUUCUAACCUUCAUCCUAUGUAGACUUGAUGAAGAACACAGAGCUGAUGAAAAUGAAGCUGACUAAGAACUAGGACUACUCUCUAGAGACCUUUCCUAAAAAUGCUAUCAUCAGUAAUAACUCCCUGCUGAUAAGUACUUUUGAGACCUGUGAGACAGUUCUUAGUCCAUUUAAGGAUGUACUUUACUGACACUGCAUAUCCUUAUACUUUUAUCAACAUGUCAUGUAUAGCAAAUCAAAUGCUUUGCAGAAAUACACAAUGUAUUCCCUUCAACAAUAACUGUAAUAAAUAAAUAAAGCCUGUUUUUCAUAAAAA